ensembl:lncRNA
GUUUGUAAUAAAUGGUAGAAGUAGAAAAGCUGUAACAAAUGUAUCAAAAAGCGGUAAGUCUGCCAAUGGAGAAGAGUAACAACAAACAUGGAGAGAGGAAUUCAGCAGCAAUUGGUUUCCCUUGGCCGGGGAUCUCCAUCCAGCCCGCGCCAGUUUGUCGUUUACAACUACCCAUUCUCCGUCCGUCACUCGUCACCGAAUCCCUCCCUGCCUGACUACCCGCCUGUCGCCAAACCCCUGCCUGCCUGACUACAUGCCUGUCGCCGAGUCCUUGCCUGCCUGACUGACUCCCUGUUGCAGAACCCUCGCCUGCCUGACUACUGCUUGCUUCGCCCCAUCUUGUCACCUACCCUGUCUCCCAAUAAACCCUGUUUUACCUUUUA